UCUACCAUGUUGUUUCUGCACACACACGCUUUUUCGGGCAUGCAGUUACACAACAACAUAAAGCGUGUGCAUGCAAACUUUUCUGUGGUAAAAGAAACAAUGUUUGUAUGCGUCUGUUUGUUUGCAUAGGAGCAUAAUUGUCUGCAGAUUUGUUUGUGUUUUUAUUUUAAAACGAUACUGUAGAAACAGUAACUGUUGCUGUGUGUGUGUGUGUGUUUGUGUGUGUGUAGUUUGCAUCAGAGUGUGUGUGUGUGUGUGUGUGUGUGUGUGUGCGUGCGUGUGUUUGUGCAGCUAUAUCGCUGUGUGACCAUGAUAGCCAGUCUGUCAUAGUCUGUCAUCUGUCCAGUUAUGCGUGUUUACAGUGAUUACAAUGUAGAUUGCUGUUGACAACAAGAUGUUCUCCUCCCCCCUGCUGCGACAGUCCUUACUUCUUCAACUAUCAGCCCUUUUCCUAGAAAGAGGAGGGCAAACAGGAAACCACAGCUCAACAGGAUUCAAAUUGAUACCUGAACAAAAUGGACGGACUGUGUUGCUCACAUCGAGCCCCCUGCUGGCCCAUCUGGAACAGUGUAUUUGCCUGGUAGCACUGCAGCCACAGAGCUCACUGUUGUGAGUUUUGUUAAAGUGAGUUUUGGAGAGAGUACUCAAUAAGGUUUCAAACCAAACAUGAAUAUGGUAGACUUAAUCCAAGCAGACAUCUUGACGGCGAGUAUAAUAACAAAGCUGUAAACCCUGAUAUUUUUCUAUUGAGAGGAAGUUUUUGUCUUGCACAUGGAUUGUCAACUGGCGGCAGCUUGCGUGUCCAGUUUAUAGAAGCGGGGCAGGAGGCCAAAGUUUGAACAAACACAGCAGGAGUGACUGGUCAAGUCAAGCGAACCAACGCUUGAUGGGAACUGAUAGCAAGAGGAAUUUUAAUGAAUUAAUCAUAUCCUUUCCAGUUGUUCCUGAAAAUCCAGUUUAACCCAUUUUCUGAUUUGGUUUAUUGAUGUUAUAGGUCAGAAUCAGACAGUAGCUUGUGAUUUAUUGACCCAAGAUUAAUUUCAAUUUGGUCAAGCUGACGGGCCUUUGUCUUUUACAAGAAGUGCAAACAAUGCGGCAGACACAUGACUGGGAACAUUGGAUUCUUACUAUAAAAUCACAUAGUCUUAUUGUGUAAUGUGGGGAAAACCUUUUUUUUCCACAUCCAGGACACACCAGAUCCACAUAAUACAUUAAAGACACUAUAGACCUGUAUAAGACCUUGGUUGCAAAGUUCUCUGGAAUAGCCCCAAAUGCAGAACCAGAUGUUUAUUGGUAAUUAAAAGGUGGAAAUUUAAGGACUGUAGAGUAGAAUGGAAGGCAAGCAGCAGAAAAGAGGGACAGAUGAUCCUUGGCUGGGUGAACGUUGCUGAAGAGUACAGGAAUAGUGCAGUAGGAAACCUGAGUGAAACAGGGAGUUCCCAGAGACUGCCCCUUAAAUACACUUAAUCGAGAUAUACAACAUUCAAAACCACUACCACCCUACCCCCCACAGUAGUUUCAAUGUAGGACUUUUACUUAUAAUGGAGUAUUUAUACAGUGGUGUGUGGGUAUGUCUACAGUGGACCCCAGGAAGAAUAGAACCCACACCAUUAAUCUAUAUUAGCUGUUACUUAGUGCAGUUUUGACAAUCCAGAAAUGCUGCAAUGAGAUAUUUUAGGUGUAAUUGCCAUUGACAGUAAUAGACACAUCUUUCCUCUAAAUGUGUUUUGUGUGGUUUCUCUCUAAAUGCUUUCUAAUGCUCUAAGUGAUAUCAGAGGUGUGAAUAAAAAGUCACCCAAACAUAACUCAGUUUGGCUCUUCAUCACGCAACAAGCCCAAACUUCCUCACUUUGUUCCACUAGUUAAUAUUUACUUUUCUUUUCCAGUUGCACGGGCUGUUUUGUGCGCCUGCAGUCAGCAUGCACCAUAACAGUGAGAUUCUGAUAUCAAUGAAUUAAUCAAAAGAGUUCAUCUUGGCCCUUGGCAGCAAAUCAAGGGAUUUUUCUGGCACAGUGUAGGAACCACAUUAGUGGUUAUAAUAAUAGAUUAUAGCACAUUUUGAAAACAUAGGUGCUUCACAACAGCAAAAUAAAACCAGAUUCCAGUAAAAUAAAAGCGACAGAAAAGUAAAAAUAAACUAAAACAAAAUAUAUGAUAAGAUGUUUAAAAUAAUAAAAUAGAUAAAUAAAAUAAUAUAUUCUACCUAAUUAAAAGUGUAGGAACAAGAAGAAAAAUGAUUUUGAGUGGAGAGGGACUUUAAGUAAAAGCACAUUUUGUGUGUGUUUUUAAACAAGGUUUAAAAAAAGGCCAGAGUAUCUCAGGCUACACUUAGUAGGCUCAUAUAGAAUUAAACAGUCAUACUCAGGCCAGUCCCAUCUGGACCUCAAAAGUAACAAUUAAAAUCUGAGAAUCAAAUUGCAGGUAAGCCACUGUAAUCAAGCUAAAAUUGCCGUUAUACUGUAGGCUAUAGAAUACAAUGGCAUUUUGAAUAAACUGACAUCUGAAAAGGUCGUGUUGGUUUAGGCAUGAGCAUUAAGCGUGAAGUGGUAGCUUCCAGGAAGAGAAGCAAUAAUAAAUAACUUAGUAAACCUCUUCCUCAGAGUUCUCUUUAUGUGUUUCAUCAGAAGCUUCGUGUCAUGAUGGGAGAGCUUCUAUGGGUCAUUUACCAGUACAACUGUAAAACUGGUUUCUCUUUUCAAGUAAACUUGUUGAUUCGCAUGCCGCAUCUGUGUUACUGUAAAUUCUUUCACAUGCCGCACAAACUUUGUAUAUUAACAGAAUGGCCAAACAACUACUGCACAAAUGUGCCUGAGUGAAUAAAUGGUAAGGGAGAUGUUGUGAUUUCAGUGGAAGCACUGAAAAUGUGUCCUCGAUGAGGACAAUGGAUCAAUUCCAGUACUGUUCUGCACUGUUCUGCUGCCCACCUUUUGGACAGAGCAAAUCGAGAACAAUAACAUUGCAUUGUCAGAGGACAGAGGAAACAAAGGCCCUUCAGUUACUGAAAUAUGAGGGAUGACAAGUAGGAUGAAUGAAUGAGGGAACAAGGAAACUUGAAUAUAUGAAGUUUUAUAAUGAGUUAUAUAUAUAUAAGAGUUUUGUGCUUUAGGUAUUAUUUUCCAGUUUUGUCCUAAUGUAAUACUGGAGUAAUAUAUUAUAAUUUUUUAACACCAAAAUCAAGUGGGUUAGAAGCUGGACGUUAAGGCAAAAUUAAUAUAUACUCAGCAUAUCAACUCUGAUAUUAAAGUUGAAAUCACAGAUUGAGAAGAUUUCUAAGAGUAAAUGAUCUUCGCAGACGCUUUCCUGUUAGCAUUUUAUAUUUAUUUUUGUGGCAACAUGAGCCAGUACUGGAAACUAUUGAGACCCAAGAGAUUUUGUAGGCUCGCAGUAAAAAAAAAAAAAUGCUGCAGUGCUUCUCAUAAGCAUCGAAGGUUCAUGGAAGACAUUUGUACUUUCACAUUUACAUUAGCAAAACAUUCGCACAUAGGUCACCUAUUAUCAUUUCAUCUAGAUUGUGCAACAGAUAAUUAGGGAGUUUUUUCUGCUUGGUGAAUGAGAAAGUAAUAAAUGUCCCAGUACAUUCUCUAGAACCUCCUUACAAUAUUCCGUAAAGAUUCACUGAAAUGCAGCUUCUCAUUUCACUACAGCUCUACUUCCACUUUCAGGAUUCAAUUAUGUUUUGACAGAUGUGUACAGGAACUACUGGAUCUGGAUUUGGAAAUCAAUCACAAGCUUCCUGCUGGCUCCUAUCUUCCCUCUGACCAACUCUUACAUACAAAAACAUUCAGAAAGGAGAUAAAGAGACAAUGCCAUCUCCUUGAGUUUGAUAUUAAAGUGUUUUGGCUGCUGGUCAGGAGAACUUGCCCAAGUGACUGCUGGGAAAUGCCAAAAUGAGUAAUUAUUAACUAUAUUAUGAGGUUUGGCAGCAUGUGAUUGCCAAGUUAAAGAUUCACUUACAGGCAGGAGCAACAAUAGCAUUUGCUUUUUUUUUUUUUUUUUUUUUACAAACAAUGAUUAUCUCACACAAUGCAGGAAAACAUGCCACACCCUCUUCAGUAAAUAUUCACAGUAUUGUUUUUAGCCUAGCUUCAUAGGUAAUUAUUUUUAAAUCUCUAUAAUGUGUUCUGUUAUUCUUUAUUUAUUGUCUUUUGCAUUUAUGUUUCAUUUCUCUUCCUCUACCACCUUUGUUUCAUGACUUCUUGUAAAGCUUACCAUAAACUUAUUAUACAAAAUGAAACUGCACACGCACAAAACCGAAAGAUAAAAGUUAUACAACCCUACUAAA